rnacentral:rRNA from 1 species
GCAAGCGUUGCUCGGAAUUACUGGGCGUAAAGGGCGUGUAGGCGGAUAGUCUAGUCAGGCGUGAAAGCCCCGGGCUUAACCUGGGAACUGCGCUUGAUACUGGCAAUCUAGAGUCCGGGAGAGGGUGGUGGAAUUCCCAGUGUAGAGGUGAAAUUCGUAGAUAUUGGGAAGAACACCGGUGGCGAAGGCGGCCACCUGGUCCGGUACUGACGCUAAGGUGCGAAAGCGUGGGGAGCAAACAGGAUUAGAUACCCU